CUUGAACGACCCCAGCCACAGCGGCUCCGUCCGCUCCUGCCCGUAUGUCGCCAGCAGCGCCUGCGCCUC
rnacentral:antisense_RNA from 1 species